UGGAGUAGAGAAAUAAUUGAAGUUUUAUUAGACUGGUAGUUGGGCAGAUCAUCGACAAUGAGCUACAACGUAAGGUUUUAACUCUUGCAAUGCUAUAAAUAAAAAUGUCUAGGAGUACAGAAAUUUCAAGAUGAGAUUAAAAAUUCAUCAAACAAAAUAUGUUAAAAGCAGCAUUAUGUUUGCAUAUCUUUUCUAAGGAGUUGCGAGUAGUGUUUGAAAUAAUUUGUGACCACCGCACCAUUUAAUCUAGCUUGAUGGAUAUUUAGCAACAUAACUUCGUAUUACUUCGUUAGUGGAUGAAUUGGACACGACGGUGGUAUGAUAAGCUGAUCAUAAUUUACAGAAUCCAAUUCAAGCACACCGCUAGUUUUGAGUGGUCUAAUUUUGUUAAGUAAUUUGUAGUUAAAGAUGAUUUGGGGUUUCAGAUAGUUAAUUUUUUUUAUUAAGUUAGUUAUAUUUCCAGGUUUCCAAGGAACGGUAAAAGCUUGUGUAUAUGAACCAGAGGGGGUCAUAUCUCUCUGAUGAUGAAGAAAACAUUAAAACACUCAAUAGAUUGAUGGAGAAUCGGUGGUCGUCGAUUGAGAGCAGAACGCCGGGGCGAGCGGAUAACGAGAUCAAAAACAAUUGGAGUACACAUUUGAGCAAGAAAGUCGCCAAAAAAGACACCAAAUGCACCAACCAAUGCUAUAUACGUUGUUUUGGUCAAGCCACUCAUCUACAGCACUCGUCUGAUCAGAAUGAGCAAGUGUACAGUGAACCAGAAAGAGGAAGGUCAUUAAUGGAUAAUAUUCUAUCCAUAAAUGAAUACAUGGGUUCAGCAGAGUCCUCUGGACAUUCUUUAUUCGCUGUCAAAGAUCAGACCAGUUUUUUGUAUGAAGAAAUUCAGAGCUUUCUCGUAGAAUAUAUCUUCCAACUGGGCAACUGCAAAUUACAAACAGCUCAAUGGAUGUGGAGGAGCUGUAGUACCUGAUGUUUCACUCAGUAUGGAGCAAAUAAGAGAUAUAAACAAUGAUGCUAACACCAUCUAUCGUGUUGAAUCUAUUCCAAUUUCAUCUUCGUUAUAGUCAGGAUUAAUACCCAAUUUUUACUGCUCAUGCCCGUUUAAUAUGAUUUCAAAUGGACAAAGGUUCCCGUAUAAUGGAGAAGAGAUUUCAAACAA